GAUGAACGCUGGCGGCGUGCCUAAUACAUGCAAGUCGAGCGAACAGACGAGGAGCUUGCUCCUCUGACGUUAGCGGCGGACGGGUGAGUAACACGUGGAUAACCUACCUAUAAGACUGGGAUAACAUCGGGAAACCGGAGCUAAUACCGGAUAAUAUAUUGAACCGCAUGGUUCAAUAGUGAAAGACGGUUUUGCUGUCACUUAUAGAUGGAUCCGCGCCGCAUUAGCUAGUUGGUAAGGUAACGGCUUACCAAGGCAACGAUGCGUAGCCGACCUGAGAGGGUGAUCGGCCACACUGGAACUGAGACACGGUCCAGACUCCUACGGGAGGCAGCAGUAGGGAAGCUUCCGCAAUGGGCGAAAGCUUGACGGAGCAACGCCGGGUGAGUGAUGAAGGUCCUCGGAUCGUAAAACUCUGUUAUUAGGGAAGAACAAAUGUGUAAGUAACUAUGCACGUCGUGACGGUACCUAAACAGAAAGCCACGGCUAACUACGUG
rnacentral:rRNA from 1 species